GACGAACGCUGGCGGCGUGCUUAACACAUGCAAGUCGAACGAAGUGGCGAACGGGUGAGUAACGCGUAAUCAACCUGCCCUUCAGAGGGGGACAACAGUUGGAAACGACUGCUAAUACCGCAUACUGAAGGAGGGGAUUGCGUCUGAUUAGCUAGUUGGGGGGGUAACGGCGCACCAAGGCGAUGAUCAGUAGCCGGGCUGAGGGGGUGAACGGGCAAAUUGGGACUGAGACACGGCCCAGACUCCUACAGGAGGCAUCAGGUGGGAAUCUUCCGCAAUGGACGAAAGUCUGACCGAGCAACGCCGCGUGAGGGAAGACGGCCUUCGGGUUGUAAAGCUCUUUUAGUCGGGACGCGGUACCUGAAUAGAAAGCCACGGCUAACUACGUGCCAGCAGUCGCGGUAAUUC
rnacentral:rRNA from 1 species